rnacentral:rRNA from 1 species
UACGAAGGGGGCUAGCGUUGCUCGGAAUUACUGGGCGGAAAGCGCACGUAGGCGGAUCUUUAAGUCAGGGGUGAAAUCCUGGAGCUCAACUCCAGAACUGCCUUUGAUACUGAGGACCUUGAGUUCGGGAGAGGUGAGUGGAACUGCGAGUGUAGAGGUGAAAUUCGUAGAUAUUCGCAAGAACACCAGUGGCGAAGGCGGCUCACUGGCCCGAUACUGACGCUGAGGUGCGAAAGCGUGGGGAGCAAACAGG